UGGCCUGGGUUUUUAAGUCACUUUCAGAUCUCACCGCCUCCUUUCUCUCUUUCUCUCUCAUCCUCAGUAAACUCUAAACAAGAAAGUUCUCCGUCUAGCCUCAUCCCCUGGUUGUUCAGUCAUCCAUUUGCAGAUUCUAGGUGAAAUUGGUUGCAGGUCAUCUUGCAUAAGUCAUCUUUCAACUUCUAUAACAUUCAGAUAGGAGAGAGGGAGAGACCGAAAAACUAUGAGAGAGAGAAAGAUAAAAAGGAGAGGGAAAUGGGCGAUGGAGAUGGUGUUGGUCCUUAAGUCCAAGUCUGGAGAGAGAAGUGGCUGGCACGGUGUACUAGCGGUGGAACGCGGUGGAUGGCCACUGCAGAUAGCAAUGGUGGUCGUCUUCCCCGAUCAUUUGAAACCCUAGAAUCUCUGCUUCAAUCACUCACCAAUCUCCUUCCCCGCUGCCAGAAAUUCAUCGCCAAAGACAUCAUCUUGUUGAUCCUGGUUAUUUGGCUAGGGUUUCAUUCAGUGACGACAAUGCAUUCCCAUCAAAGAAAGAGAUGAAGGGCAGACACAGAAGAAAGGGGAAAUUACGAUUCUGAAACACAUCGCCAUCCACAUCACCAAUCAUGAAUUUCUCAUGGUAUGAUCUCAUGCUUCAUAUCUAUGUCCAUGAUUUUUAGUAAUGGAACUCAAUUACCAUCAGCUGGUUGUCAGGUACCUAACUAAGAACCCUCGGGUUAAUGAUUUUCCAAGCGAUCCUCAAGUUUGUUCUUAACCCAAUGAGGAAAGAUUCAUAAAAACACAAAAAAAAUUGGUUCUUGAAUAUUUAAAUUCCCUUUUGUUUGUUUGUUGAAGAUAAACCUUGAUGACUUGGUUGAUAAGAUUAAACACCAUGAGUCACGACUCACUAGAAGAGAUUUUCUCAUUUGUUGUUAAAGUUGCUGCUCACAUGGAUGGCAACGGUGGCAAUGCAUAUGAACUUUUUGAGAUUUGCUCAGCAGAGGGUCAUGCUAUUGUUAGAUUCUUUUUUUUCUCUUAUCUAUUUUUAACUUAUGGGAUUUUAUGCGAAGACUUGGUAAAAAUUAACGGCGUAUUUACUUCGUUAUGUUUAUGAUUUUAAUA